rnacentral:lncRNA from 1 species
AGCUUUGUCUGACGUGUUAUUUUACAUUUAAGUGCCUCCCCUGUUCGUCGUAGCCCAAGUCCUCGGAGGAGCCCUUCUCCACGCAGAACAACCCCUUCUAGGGAUGCUAGUCCAGAUGGUCGUAAUCGCAAGGAGCGGUCUCCAACUCCCAAGAGUGUCUCCCCGCGUGGUAGACGUGCUGUUUCUCGCAGCCCCUUGCCACGUUCUGAUGCUGAUGUAAGUUGUGGCUGUCAUACAUUGUUUUAUUAUAGUAUAAAUGUGAUGAGAAAACAUUAUUUGCUUUUGUAGGAUUAAGUAGCAAAGGAGGAGGCCACAAUUGUCAUCUGGCUUUGGUCAAUGCUGCGUAUCAAGAGGACAUUCCCAAAUGAAGGACCUUUCAUCUAUUUUCUGCUUGCUAGAACUGAUUGGCCUGACUUAUUUAUAAGGUUUAACUCCUUUUGUUGUACUUGAUCCAUACCAUAACUUUGAUGUUACCUCUGCAUUCUGGUAUUAUGGAUUGGUGUUCUGAUAUUAAGAUAUCUAUUGUUGGUUUAUAAUUAUUGUGGAUUUUCUGUUUGGCUUUAUUUGAUUUUUUAUUGCUUUUCUUAUUCAAAGUAUACCUGCAUAUAUUGUGAUAGUAUACCUUGUGGUAAUUUACUUAUGAUGAAAAUUAUUGGCCUUCUAUAGCUGGGUCCGUGAAAAGUCAAUGUGGCUGAAUAGCAAGAUGAUGCAGUAGCUGUUGAUGCUGUUUUAUUUGCUGUUGGUUGUAAUUUUGUUGCUGGUCACGAACUACUGUUUCUUAGGUCAAUGGCAAGAAGAUGCAGCAGUUGUCGAUGCUG